CAGCCUGCCUAACUGGAUGAUGCUUCA
rnacentral:piRNA from 1 species